rnacentral:pre_miRNA from 1 species
CUUGUACUCCCUCAGUCCCGUCCAACAAAAAUGUCUCAACUUUGUCAAAAUUUGGAUGUAUUUAGACAUGACUUAGUGUAUAGAUGCAUUCAAAUUUAGACAAAUUUGAGACAUUCUUCUUUGUUGGACGGAGGAAUAUAAA